UCUCACUCAUCCCUUACUCAUCCUCUCUGCAACUCUUCCAACAACCUCAUCACUAUCUAUCUAUGAGACCUUUAAUUUGCUUAGCUUACAUAUAUUGUCCGAUCCAUAUAUAUCCUCCUCUCACUGUUUUUCUUUACAACCUCCGAUCCGCAACCGAAACCAAUACCUGAGCCGACCACACCAUCCCCUUUCAGCAUUUCAACGUUAAACAAUCCGUUUCUCGGGCACCCAGCGUCUCAAUAUUCGACACAUACUACGAGUUAAACGGGUUCGUUACGGUUUUGGUACCAAUCGUAUCGUUUUUUCUUAUGGGUGGUCCGAUCAUGACCAUUCCAGCUACGAACAUUCUUAUACCAGUUGAUGAAAGGGGCACGUUUUGUUUUGCAUUUGCUCCAUCCCCAACUGGACUAUCCAUCAUAGCAAGAAGGCAUCUAGAUUUCUUUUGACAGCUCAAAUGAUUUUAUAUGUCAAUCAAGGGGCGAACUCGGCCAGGAAAAGCAAUUGCUAUUUAUACUAAAAGAAAAGUUGGAGAGAAAUAUGGCAUGAAGUGGAGAUAAUUCAAUGUAACACAUGCUACGUGAGUACGUGGGAGGCAGCUGAGUGAAGACCCAACACAUUCGUUGAAGAAGUGAAAUAUGCAGCAUGCGACUAUUAUUUAAUAAUAAUAAUAAUAAUAAUAAUAAUAAUAUUAGUACUUGAUAGAUUAUUGUAACAUAUGAUGGAUGAUUAAGAGAAUGAAUUAAGUGAUAUUAUAUUUGUAUUUCACUGUAUUUUAAAUUGCUUAAUGAUUAAGUCAA